rnacentral:tRNA from 1 species
AAGGGAGACCUAAUUCAGGUAGGAGACGAAAAAAAAGUAGUCGCUACCAAGAAUCAAUCCCAAAAGGUCGGAGCGAGGCGAAAUUGGCUUUCAAACUAGGUUCUGGGUUCACACAAGACCUGAAUCAGGAACAAGGGCUAUUAGCUCAGGUGGUUAGAGCGCACCCCUGAUAAGGGUGAAGUCCCUGGUUCGAGUCCAGGAUGGCCCACCUGCACAGGUGGCAAAAACUAGAGAAGCGAGGAAUCAGCACCUUAUCUUAUCUAUAUAUAUAUAUAGGAGAGAAUGCUGGCUCUGAGUAAAGAGUCCAGAGGAACCUUGAAAACUGCAUAGAGCUAGGUGAAAAAGCCAAAAAAGAAGACCGCAAGGUCAAGCUAAUAAGGGCUAACGGUGGAUACCUAGGCAC